rnacentral:lncRNA from 1 species
CUUAAUUUAAAAAUUAUGGCUCUCUAAAAAGCAAAAAAAAAUAGUACCUAUUUUCAAGAGCUAAAACAAUCAACUGAACUAGACUUAGAGAUAGUCUAGAUAGGCACAUUAAAAUACCUAUACCUAAUAUGUCAAUGGCUCUAUUUGGCAAGUUGGGCAUCAUGCAGCAAUACAUGGAAAACUUAAGCAAGAAGAUGGAAAUUAUAAACAAAAGCUUUUUUUAAAAUCCUACACUAUCAGAGAUAAAGAAUUCUUUUCAUGAGAUUAUCAUUACACUUUACAUAACUGAUUCCAGAAGGGCUAAGCUUAAAGGUGGGUCAAUAGAAAUGGGUCAAUCAUUUCAUGGCUAAUAGAAAUGGUUAGUCAUUUCAUGAAAUAAUCUUACAUGAAACACAAAGUGAAAACUGAAUGAAAAAAAAAAUACAACAGAGCACCUAUGAGCUGUGGAACACUGUUAAAUUGAUUAACUCAUAUUUACUUGUUGUUCCACCAGGAGAAAGGUGCAAAAAUGUAAAAAGAAUAUUUUGAGCAAAGGCUAAGUACAAAGAAAAACAGACCUGAGCACACGAGAGUCAAACUAAAAUCAACAACAACAACAAAAAACAAAUAUGGAGAAAAAAGUCUUGAAGGUAGCCGGGGAAGAAAAAAACAUUACAUGCAGGACAAUAAGAACUACAAUGAAAGCAGGUUUCUUGUCAGAAACACAGCUAUGUAAACCAGAAAACAAUGGAGUGAUAUCUUUAAAGUUCUGUAGGAAUAAAGAUGAAAUACUGUCACUCUAGAAAUUUAUACCCAGAAGAAAUACAAAAUGCCAACACCACAGAAGUUAUCACCUCCCUUCCCAGACCACAUCACCUUUCCCUGCUAAGGAAAACAUGCCAAGAUUAGCAACCUGUACACAAACAUUCUUUGAGCCUCUAGAUACAGAGUCUCUGAGAGCAGUUUCCAGUUCCAACACAACAGCACCUCAUCUUCUGCCUGCACUCCUGAACACACGACCAGGCUCACACCACUCGAGACCUCCGUAUACACAAAAUAGGACCCAUAAGUCCUUCUGAAGGUGUGUGGGUGCAUGAUAAAUGCUCCAUAAAUAGCUACUGAUAGAAAACCUACAUCACAGAUAAUAAUGAAAAGCCUUUCAAGAGUUACACACAGGAAGACUGCAUAAUAUGAAAUACAAUUUACAGUUUAGAACGUUUCCUUUGUUGGUUAUGUGGAGAUUGGACUACAGUGAGUCAAAGAGGGAGAAAAGGAAAGAUGAAGAGACUGUUGGACUUGGCCAUGCGAAAGAUCCUUGGCCUUGGACCAGUGUGGAACAGUUUGGCAAAGUGUGAGAAGUGAUGAGGAUAUAUUUUGAAGGUACCCUCAACUCAAUCUCGUUCUUGCCUGGAGAAGCAAUGUGAUGAAGGAUCUAGGUUUGAACCCUGGCAUUUAGCUUUCUGAAUAGUUGUCAGAUGAGUUUUUUUUUUAACAAGAAGCUAAAGAAGAUUGAAAUGCAAUGAUGAAAAAUUGACUCAGAGGUGGAAGAUGUAAUUGUUUUCAGUGGAAUGCCUUCUGUCCACUGUAUAGGAUCUACUGAAUGUUCACAUGGCUGGCUCUAAGUGCCAUUCUAGACUACAUACUAUGUGAAAAAAAUCUUUCUUCUGUUCAUUUUAUAUUUUCUCAGGUCCCUUCCAAGGAUGGAUGACCUAGAGGCUGGGAUAUCCAGAAGAGUUGAGACAGAAAGAGAAAUAACUAGUAUUAUGUUCCUUAAAAUGUCCUUCCUUUUUGAUCAACACUAAUACUUAAAAAUCAUCUGAGCAGGUUCUGCUAUAUAUAUAUAUAUAUAUAUAUAUAUAUAUAUAUAUAUAUAUAUAUAUAUGUUUAAAAUUAUUUAUAUUCAAUGUAUAUGUACAGCUUUACUAGCUUUUGUGGACUUUAUAAAUUAUACAUAAAAUGGGUCAGACAUGGUAGUUCGCACCUAUAAUCCCAGCACUUUGAGGGUCCCAGCACUUUCUCAGGUCCCUUGGAAGAGAAAAUAAUUAUUUUUAUUAUUACUCAAUAAAUUAACAUACAUUUGGUUUGGAAUUUAAAAAAUUAAAGAUAUCUUGAAAAAUUAAACAUCAUAUUGUCUUCACUGGAAUGGUUGUCUCACCCAGCGUCAUCUCUUCUAGUGGCUGGAUCCUGUUCUUCCUGAAAACCACUCAUUUCUGAUAACAGUAGAACUGUAGCUCAGAAUGCAAGCCAAAACUGCCUUCCUUGAGUCUGGCCUUGGUCACAAGUGGGUCAUCGCUUUAUCCAGGACAAUCAUGAUUCUUCCCUGGAAUUUUCACACAUGAUCUUAGCCAAAAAGCUGAGAAGAAAUUCUGGGAUUUUCCAAUGCACACUUGAGUUUUCUUUCCAGCAGCCAAGCUGUGUGAAGCUGAGCCUGGAGCUGCUGAUGGCCAUGAUUCCUGAGUUAGAAAAUGUCACAAUAUAAGAUGCACACUAAAUCAAGACCAAAAACAUUUAGAAACUAUGACAAAUGAAUGAAAAUUAAGUGGUGAAAUGACAUUAUGUUCUUCUAUUUGAUUCCACUUAUGUGAAUUUCUAGACUAGGAAAACUUAUUUUGAUUAAAAGUACAUCUGUGGUUUCUUGGAGGCUUGAUUUGCAGUAAACGUGCAGGAAAGUGUUAACAUCAGCAGGCAGGAGACUCCGAUCCUUAGAAGGGCCUGCUUGCGAGCUUGGUCUUCGCUGGCAUCUAGAAACUUAUGUUUCAAGAGAGUACCCACCAUUCUCUGAUAAGAAUGAUUCAUUGUCCUAAACCAUUUGUUCAAACAAUUGGUUUAUCCUGAAUAUCUGUUUUUCUUGAAGUCUAAAAUUUUUAUACAGAGUAGGCAGAGUGUGUCCUAUGUAAUCAACCCUAAUAAAAACCAUGGACUCUGAGUGUCUCAAGAGCUUCCCUGGUAGACAGCAUUUCAUACUUGCCAUUACAAGUUGCUACUGGGUGAAUUAAGAUCAGCUGGUGUGACUCCAGUGGGAUAAGAUUCUUGGAUGCUUGCACCUGGUUUCUUCCGGAUAUUGCUGGAUGCACCUUUUCUCUUUGCUGAUUUCGCUUUUUAUCCGUUUUCCAUAAUAAAUCACUGCCAUGACUAUGCCUAUAUGCUGAGUCGUGGGAGCACUCCUUACAAAUCACCAAACCUGGGGAUGGUCUUGGGACCCCUGGUACAGCAAAAAGAAACUUUUUAUCUCAAUAGAAGUGUGAUUUAUGUGGCUGCAUUCAAUUGUCAAAAUUGAUUGAACUGUGUACUUAAGAUCUGUGUAUUAUACCUAAUAAAAUUAUUUUGAGGAAAAAAC